UACAGAGGAGGCAAGCGUUGUUCGGAAUCACUGGGCUUAAAGCGCGUGUAGGCGGCCCUUCAAGUGCUUUGUGAAAUCCCCGGGCUUAACCUGGGAAUUGCUUGGCAUACUGUCGGGCUUGAGGAGGAUAGGGGUGCCUGGAACUCUAGGUGGAGCGGUGAAAUGCGUAGAUAUCUAGAGGAACGCCCGAGGCGAAAGCGGGGCACUAGGUCCUUCCUGACGCUGAGACGCGAAAGCGUGGGGAGCAAACGGG
rnacentral:rRNA from 1 species